AACGCGUGGGAACCUGCCUUUAGGUUCGGAGUAACUCAGAGAAAUUUGAGCUAAUACCGGAUAAUGUCUUCGGACCAAAGAUUUAUCGCCUUUAGAUGGGCCCGCGUUAGAUUAGAUAGUUGGUGGGGUAAUGGCCUACCAAGUCGACGAUCUAUAGCUGGUCUGAGAGGAUGAUCAGCCACACUGGGACUGAGACACGGCCCAGACUCCUACGGGAGGCAGCAGUGGGGAAUAUUGGACAAUGGGCGAAAGCCUGAUCCAGCAAUGCCGCGUGAGUGAUGAAGGCCUUAGGGUGGUAAAGCUCUUCUACUAGGGAUGAUAAUGACAGUACCUAGAGAAUAAGCUCCGGCUAACUCCGUGCCAGCAGCCGCGGUAAUACGGAGGGAGCUAGCGUUGUUCGGAAUUACUGGGCGUAAAGAGAACGUAGGCGGCUAUCCAAGUCAGGGGUGAAAUCCCGGGGCUCAACCCCGGAACUGCCCUUGAAACUAGGUAGCUAGAAUUCUGGAGAGGUUAGUGGAAUUCCGAGUGUAGAGGUGAAAUUCGUAGAUAUUCGGAAGAACACCAGUG
rnacentral:rRNA from 1 species